GGGUUGUGAGGUUAAGCGACUAAGCGUACACGGUGGAUGCCCUGGCAGUCAGAGGCGAUGAAGGACGUGCUAAUCUGCGAUAAGCGCCGGUAAGGUGAUAUGAACCGUUAUAACCGGCGAUUUCCGAAUGGGGAAACCCAGUGUGACUCGUCACACUAUCAUUAACUGAAUCCAUAGGUUAAUGAGGCGAACCGGGGGAACUGAAACAUCUAAGUACCCCGAGGAAAAGAAAUCAACCGAGAUUCCCCCAGUAGCGGCGAGCGAACGGGGAGGAGCCCAGAGCCUGAAUCAGCAUGUGUGUUAGUGGAAGCGUCUGGAAAGGCGCGCGAUACAGGGUGACAGCCCCGUACACAAAAGCGCAUGUGCUGUGAGCUCGAUGAGUAGGGCGGGACACGUGGUAUCCUGUCUGAAUAUGGGGGGACCAUCCUCCAAGGCUAAAUACUCCUGACUGACCGAUAGUGAACCAGUACCGUGAGGGAAAGGCGAAAAGAACCCCGGCGAGGGGAGUGAAAAAGAACCUGAAACCGUGUACGUACAAGCAGUGGGAGCACAGGUUUACCUGUGUGACUGCGUACCUUUUGUAUAAUGGGUCAGCGACUUAUAUUCUGUAGCAAGGUUAACCGUAUAGGGGAGCCGGAGGGAAACCGAGUCUUAAUUGGGCGUUAAGUUGCAGGGUAUAGACCCGAAACCCGGUGAUCUAGCCAUGGGCAGGUUGAAGGUUGGGUAACACUAACUGGAGGACCGAACCGACUAAUGUUGAAAAAUUAGCGGAUGACCUGUGGCUGGGGGUGAAAGGCCAAUCAAACCGGGAGAUAGCUGGUUCUCCCCGAAAGCUAUUUAGGUAGCGCCUCGUGAAUUCAUCUCCGGGGGUAGAGCACUGUUUCGGCUAGGGGGCCAUCCCGGCUUACCAACCCGAUGCAAACUGCGAAUACCGGAGAAUGUUAUCACGGGAGACACACGGCGGGUGCUAACGUCCGUCGUGAAGAGGGAAACAACCCAGACCGCCAGCUAAGGUCCCAAAGUCAUGGUUAAGUGGGAAACGAUGUGGGAAGGCCCAGACAGCCAGGAUGUUGGCUUAGAAGCAGCCAUCAUUUAAAGAAAGCGUAAUAGCUCACUGGUCGAGUCGGCCUGCGCGGAAGAUGUAACGGGGCUAAACCAUGCACCGAAGCUGCGGCAGCGACGCUUAUGCGUUGUUGGGUAGGGGAGCGUUCUGUAAGCCUGUGAAGGUGGCCUGUGAGGGUUGCUGGAGGUAUCAGAAGUGCGAAUGCUGACAUAAGUAACGAUAAAGCGGGUGAAAAGCCCGCUCGCCGGAAGACCAAGGGUUCCUGUCCAACGUUAAUCGGGGCAGGGUGAGUCGACCCCUAAGGCGAGGCCGAAAGGCGUAGUCGAUGGGAAACGGGUUAAUAUUCCCGUACUUGGUGUUACUGCGAAGGGGGGACGGAGAAGGCUAUGUUGGCCGGGCGACGGUUGUCCCGGUUUAAGCGUGUAGGUGUGUGUUCCAGGUAAAUCCGGUUCACUUUAACACUGAGGCGUGACGACGAGGCACUACGGUGCUGAAGCAACAAAUGCCCUGCUUCCAGGAAAAGCCUCUAAGCAUCAGGUAACAUCAAAUCGUACCCCAAACCGACACAGGUGGUCAGGUAGAGAAUACCAAGGCGCUUGAGAGAACUCGGGUGAAGGAACUAGGCAAAAUGGUGCCGUAACUUCGGGAGAAGGCACGCUGAUAUGUAGGUGAAGUGAUUUACUCAUGGAGCUGAAAUCAGUCGAAGAUACCAGCUGGCUGCAACUGUUUAUUAAAAACACAGCACUGUGCAAACACGAAAGUGGACGUAUACGGUGUGACGCCUGCCCGGUGCCGGAAGGUUAAUUGAUGGGGUCAGCGCAAGCGAAGCUCCUGAUCGAAGCCCCGGUAAACGGCGGCCGUAACUAUAACGGUCCUAAGGUAGCGAAAUUCCUUGUCGGGUAAGUUCCGACCUGCACGAAUGGCGUAAUGAUGGCCAGGCUGUCUCCACCCGAGACUCAGUGAAAUUGAACUCGCUGUGAAGAUGCAGUGUACCCGCGGCAAGACGGAAAGACCCCGUGAACCUUUACUAUAGCUUGACACUGAACAUUGAGCCUUGAUGUGUAGGAUAGGUGGGAGGCUUUGAAGCGUGGACGCCAGUCUGCGUGGAGCCGACCUUGAAAUACCACCCUUUAAUGUUUGAUGUUCUAACGUGGACCCGUUACCCGGGUUGCGGACAGUGUCUGGUGGGUAGUUUGACUGGGGCGGUCUCCUCCUAAAGAGUAACGGAGGAGCACGAAGGUUGGCUAAUCCUGGUCGGACAUCAGGAGGUUAGUGCAAUGGCAUAAGCCAGCUUGACUGCGAGCGUGACGGCGCGAGCAGGUGCGAAAGCAGGUCAUAGUGAUCCGGUGGUUCUGAAUGGAAGGGCCAUCGCUCAACGGAUAAAAGGUACUCCGGGGAUAACAGGCUGAUACCGCCCAAGAGUUCAUAUCGACGGCGGUGUUUGGCACCUCGAUGUCGGCUCAUCACAUCCUGGGGCUGAAGUAGGUCCCAAGGGUAUGGCUGUUCGCCAUUUAAAGUGGUACGCGAGCUGGGUUUAGAACGUCGUGAGACAGUUCGGUCCCUAUCUGCCGUGGGCGCUGGAGAACUGAGGGGGGCUGCUCCUAGUACGAGAGGACCGGAGUGGACGCAUCACUGGUGUUCGGGUUGUCAUGCCAAUGGCACUGCCCGGUAGCUAAAUGCGGAAGAGAUAAGUGCUGAAAGCAUCUAAGCACGAAACUUGCCCCGAGAUGAGUUCUCCCUGAGACUUAGAGUCUCCUGAAGGAACGUUGAAGACGACGACGUUGAUAGGCCGGGUGUGUAAGCGCAGCGAUGCGUUGAGCUAACCGGUACUAAUGAACCGUGAGGCUUAACCUUACAACGCCGAAG
rnacentral:rRNA from 1 species